rnacentral:rRNA from 1 species
UACGAAGGGUGCAAGCGUUACUCGGAAUUACUGGGCGUAAAGCGUGCGUAGGUGGUGAGUUAAGUCUGAUGUGAAAUCCCCGGGCUCAACCUGGGAAUGGCAUUGGAUACUGGCUCGCUCGAGUGCGGUAGAGGGUGGUGGAAUUCCCGGUGUAGCAGUGAAAUGCGUAGAGAUCGGGAGGAACAUCUGUGGCGAAGGCGGCCACCUGGACCAGCACUGACACUGAGGCACGAAAGCGUGGGGAGCAAACAGG